rnacentral:rRNA from 1 species
CACGUAGGGUGCGAGCGUUGUCCGGAAUUAUUGGGCGUAAAGAGCUCGUAGGUGGUUUGUCGCGUUGUUCGUGAAAACUCACAGCUUAACUGUGGGCGUGCGGGCGAUACGGGCAGACUGGAGUACUGCAGGGGAGACUGGAAUUCCUGGUGUAGCGGUGGAAUGCGCAGAUAUCAGGAGGAACACCGGUGGCGAAGGCGGGUCUCUGGGCAGUAACUGACGCUGAGGCGCGAAAGCCAGGGGAGCAAACGGG